rnacentral:rRNA from 1 species
AAGUCGAGCGGGACAGAUGGGAGCUUGCUCCCUGAUGUUAGCGGCGGACGGGUGAGUAACACGUGGGUAACCUGCCUGUAAGACUGGGAUAACUCCGGGAAACCGGGGCUAAUACCGGAUGCUUGUUUGAACCGCAUGGUUCAAACAUAAAAGGUGGCUUCGGCUACCACUUACAGAUGGACCCGCGGCGCAUUAGCUAGUUGGUGAGGUAAUGGCUCACCAAGGCAACGAUGCGUAGCCGACCUGAGAGGGUGAUCGGCCACACUGGGACUGAGAC